CUAACAGUUGACCCCAUGAAAGGUUAAGGAUUAGUUGCUAGUGUUAGUACUUAGAGGCUACAAUUUAAUGGUUUCGGAUGCAGCCGUAGCCUGUAGAGUUCAGGAUCGUGAUGUCAUAUCGCUAAGCAUCAUGGGAUUUGCAGCAUUAUUAAACAAAUGGAGAUUUUCAAAGGUAAUACUGUAGUUUCUCACUGUCAUCAUUAUUUAUCCACUCCAUACUUGGUGGUAAGCUACUGUUGUAUUAGGAACCAGAAAAUGGGGUUUUCAUCACUUUGAGACAAUACAACAAUGUGAUGCUAUUGCUAGCUACUGCAGGACAAGACAGAAAAGGACGUUGGAAUGUGGAGUUUUCAAAAAGAAGCAGAGCAGCUAUAAAACAUGUUUACCGGUGAAUUAGCAGACUGUUUGCUGCUGCUCUUUCUCCCCCUGACUUCUGACCCUGGCUCACUUUGAUGACAUCAUGACUACUUCUGAGACAUACGAGGGGAAACAGCGGCCGCUUACUCAGACCAGCUGCAAUGGACAGACUGGAAGUUGUUCUGCACAAAAGAAGCCAGACCCAGAACAAAGCAACACCUUGGUCCCGACUGAGCGCGCGUCAGGGUUUCCCAACCAGGGGUGCAGGGACCCAUGGGGGCAUGCGAACAAGAGGUACUAGGAAUUAUUUAAAGUUUUGGAGGGUCCG
rnacentral:lncRNA from 1 species